AUUGAACGCUGGCGGAAUGCUUUACACAUGCAAGUCGAACGGUAGAGGGGGCAACCCCUCGAGAGUGGCGAACGGGUGAGUAAUAUAUCGGAACGUGCCCAGUCGUGGGGGAUAACGUAGCGAAAGUUACGCUAAUACCGCAUACGAUCUAAGGAUGAAAGCGGGGGACUCGCAAGAGCCCCGCGCGAUUGGAGCGGCCGAUAUCAGAUUAGGUAGUUGGUGGGGUAAAGGCUCACCAAGCCAACGAUCUGUAGCUGGUCUGAGAGGACGACCAGCCACACUGGAACUGAGACACGGUCCAGACUCCUACGGGCGGCAGCAGUGGGGAAUUUUGGACAAUGGACGCAAGUCUGAUCCAGCCAUUCCGCGUGCAGGAUGAAGGCCCUCGGGUUGUAAACUGCUUUUGUACGGAACGAAAGGGUUUCUAUUAAUACUAGGAGCUCAUGACGGUACCGUAAGAAUAAGCACCGGCUAACUACGUGCCAGCCGCCGCGGUAA
rnacentral:rRNA from 1 species